rnacentral:rRNA from 1 species
CUAAGCGGGAAGCGAGCCCUGAGAUGAGUUUUCCCUGACACUUUAAGUGUCCUAAAGGGUUGUUCAAGACUAGAACGUUGAUAGGCAGGGUGUGUAAGCGCUGUGAGGCGUUGAGCUAACCUGUACUAAUUGCCCGUGAGGCUUAACCAUACAACACCCAAGGGGUUU